UACGGGGGGGGGCAAGCGUUUGUUCGGAAUUACUGGGCGUAAAGGGCGCGUAGGCGGCCACCGCAAGUCGACUGUGAAAUCUCCGGGCUUAACCCGGAAAGGUCAGCCGAUACUGCGGGGCUAGAGUGCAGAAGGGGCAACUGGAAUUUACGGUGUAGCGGUGAAAUGCGUAGAUAUCGUAAGGAAGACCAGUGGCGAAGGCGGGUCUCUGGACAGUUCCUGACGCUGAGGCACGAAGGCCAGGGGAGCAAACGGGG
rnacentral:rRNA from 1 species